GUUGAAGUCUUUUUCCUAGACAGGACACAUGGGACAGAUUAUUUAAGCAAAUUGAAUUGUAUCCACCAGUCUUCAUUCAAAAAGGAUGUUUUCUGAGUUCAGGAAUAAACCCCAUGAUUUCUGGAGAAUGGAUGACAGGUGUGUGAUGGGCAAUGUGUUUGUAAUCUUCAACCACCAAGUUAGCAUGCUUUACUGCCUUCCAUUCAGUCAUCCAGCCACUUUGGGUGUUGCUUUCCUCACUGAAGACUGAGAAGUGGAGACAUAAUAUCCAAAGUCUCUCCUGGGUGGAAGAUCUCUUUAUAUGACAGAAAAAAUAUAAAAGACUGAAGCUGUCCAUUUCACUCAAUGUUUUCCUGGUUUUACUUUGGUUGAGUUUGUCCGAAUAUCUUGGCUUAGAAAAAUGAGCAUUAAACUUCUAACAGUGAAUCCAUAGUGAUAUUGUUCCUCACCAGCUGAACAUAUUGCACCAGGCAAUUGCAGGGAUUCAUAAAAUAUCUUUUUUUCUAAAACUGGUUCUGAAACUAGAAGGGCAGAGUCAAUUGCACAUUGACUCUUCUUAGCAGACACCUGGCAC
rnacentral:lncRNA from 1 species